rnacentral:lncRNA from 1 species
CAUGGAUCCUAGGAAAUGAAAGGUCAUGGGUAUUAGGGUUUAACCCUAAUCCUCCAUACUAUAUAAAGAUGUCUUUGGUUGGUGAAAUUGGCACUAGUGUGGAUACACUAAAGAAGGGCUAGCCAAUUUCACUAGAGAGAACCAAGUAAUCAUAUUCUCUAAAGUAUUCCAAGGUGUCUUGGUGAUUUGUGAUUCCACUUGAGGCUUCCACACUAUUGGGGCUAAGCUCUUAAAGCUUGAAGACAUCAAGCUACAUCAAGAGGUAUGUAUUCUAUCUUGUUACAUUCAUAGUUUUUGUAUGCUAGAUUAGGAUAAUACCUUGGAUGUUCUUAUUUGCAUGUAUAAUAGAGAAAACAUAGAUCCAAGGUAUUUAGGGUUGCAUGUACACUUAGGAAGUGUUAGAAUGCUCAAAACCCAACAGUGGUAUCAGAGCCACGGCUUCUUUUCUUGUUAUACUAGCAAAAGAAGCUUAAAAAAUCGAAAUUGUUUUUGUCUGAUCAUCAGACUCGGUGAGUCCAUGCUUAAAAAGUGAUCAAAUCGAUCCAACUCGCCGAGUUGGUUCAUGCACUCAACGAGUUGGACCCCCAGACAGCAUAAACUCGACUUUUUUGGCUAGAAAUGGACUAGGAACAUUACCCUAAGUUGUUUUUGAACUUAUAAACGUGUUUUUUGAUGUGGUAAUGUUCAUGCUAAUCCAUUUUCAAAGAUAAUUGUCAAUAGAUUCAUGUUUUGUAUUAGUUUAAGGUUUAGACUAAUUACAUGAAAAAGUUUGAUUUGAAUUAUCUUGUUCUUAUGAGUUGCUUAGAUUAAUAGAAAAGUUAAUUGAAAUAGUUGUUUUCAAUCCAUUUUAAUCUAAGAGUUGAGUAUAAAAUGUGUUUGUGUAACUUGUCCUCAAGUUACAUGAAGAGUCACAUUAAAGACUCAUAAAAUUCAUAAAAGUUGGCAAUGGUUACAAAAUGAAGAGUCUUGUGUCAUUGAAUAAUUUUUUAUGACUCCAUAACUUGUCCUCAAGUUAUGGAAGUUCAAGAGUCACUUCAUUAAAGAAAAAUAUGUAACCAUAAUUAAAUCCAUAAGUUAUAAAAUAAAGAAAAAGUUAGUUCUUUUAUUAGUUUAAAGUCUUCCAUAACUUGUCCUCAAGUUAUGGAACUUGAAGAGUUUUUGGAUUAAAACUACUUUAAACACAUAAGUUAUGGAAUUAAUUAGUUUUGAAUAGUUUCAAAACUUGCCCUCAAGUUUUGGAAUUUGAAAAGUUUUCAUUAUGAAUACUUUAAUUCCAAGUUAGCCCUUAGAAUUUUAAAAGUUAAAAUUCAACCCUUAUACUUUAUAAUAUUAUAAGUUAAUAAUAUAUAUAUGUAUAAGAGUAAAGUCAGUCUUACCGCUAGUACGCCUCAUUCACGAAGCCGGUCUAUAAGGUGGGUAUAAGGUUGUUGCCUAUAAAAUGGCAACUUAAUGGGUGUCCACUCUCACCCACCGCUUGCUUGACUGGUGGAGGGUCGUUAGCCGAACGGGUUUGACAGGACUAGAAUUCUCCCUUCAUUAAAAGUAUUAAUGAUAAUACUAAGUAACUAAACUCUUAAUAAUACCCAAUCUUAGUUACUUAGGAAAAAUGUGAAUAAGGUGCUAAUCCAUGAAAUUACACUUUACACUUUGUCUAAGUCGUUAGUGGAGCGUGUGUGGUUAACCGGCACACUAACUUGGACUUAACAAGGUAGGUAAAGGGUGACUUAAUAUUUAUCAUAGUAUCGAUGGAGCGUGUGUGGUUAACCGGCACAUCGAUUGAGGGGUAAUUUAUUAAGGGUACCAAGUGAUUUGCAUGGUUACUUCACACCUUGUUUUGUGAUCCUCGGCAUCCCAGUCACAAAACCUGAAGGGCACACUCGAGAUUGAAACAUGCCUUUGAAAAGUUCAAUGAAUCUCAAAGAUCUAGGAGUUUCAAAACCAAUUAAAACCUAAUAAUACAUUUCGUUUAUCUUGGUGGAAAUUGGUGAAUCGUCAUUCACCUACCUUCAAAUAUUUUAUAGCUUGGAUUACGGCAUACCUCUUCUAAGUUAUAAAAUAGUUUGUUGGGUCCUAGCCUUAAUAUUUCAUAUUGGGUGUCAUAUUAAGGACUUUAAAUCAACUAUCUUGAAUAUCUCCCAAAAGAUGUCUGGUUUAGACACCUAUGAUCUUCCCAAAUCUCUUGAAACAAGGUUUCCUAAUGAAGAUGAUGUCCCAUGGAUAUCAUACUUCUUCACCUCUUCAAAUUAUUCUCCCUAACCCACAAGUUCUUGAAAAGUUUAAGGUCACUCAGGCCCUAUUAGCAAGGCAAGGUCUAGGUGUGGUCACAUCUUGGAGAUGUAGUCACAUAUUGACAAGCCGGGAGAGUUGGGUGUCAAAGUCUUGAGAAAGUUGGUGGUUCAACUACUUUCUAAGUCACAUAGUGAGUUCUUUUGGAACACCUAUGAAAAAGACUAUGACAAGACCCUUAAUGAUCUUAUCUAUUUGUUAAGAUCAACUUCCUAAAACUUUAUGGACAUUGACAAUGAUGACAUUGGAUAUCCAGUAAAGCAUUCUCUUCCCAAUGGAAAGGGAUCGGCUAUAGUCAACUCGGUUGACCAAAUGGUAAAGAGAAAAGCUAAGUCUGUGAUAGUCCUGUGUACCAUUAUCAAAGGGUCCAUAUGUUUGUAUUGCCAAAGAAAGGGCAUUGGUUGCGAAGCUGCCAAAUUUACCUAAGGAUGUUAAAGUCAAUAAGUUUGACUCUACUUCAGGUAAAAUCCACUAUCUAACUCUGUUAAGUUUCUAUUCUGAGAUUCUUGAUACAUGAUGUGACCGGGUCGCAUGGUGAUGGUUUAAGAAUCAAAGGAAAGUGAAGAAACUUAAAGGAAGAAUAUGCUGAAUCUGAUCGCAUAGAUGGAUUUCUAUCGCAUAGUUUGAAAAAUCGGAUUCUUGAGCUACUUCUUAGGAGUUAUGAGAUAUUGCUUAGGAAUAGAUAACAACAAGUUUUCAUAUGGAUUGUAAGGAUAGUUUUUCCGCAAAGUUUUAAAAUAAAAGGAAAUUUUUGAUUUUAUUUAUUUUAAAAUAUCCUUACAAUGGCAUCUGUGGAAAUUUUUGUUGCUUAUAAGAUUCCAUUAGUAGCAAGAGUGGAAGUAUGAAAUUGAUUCUUUCAUUUGUGGUAAUGUCUAAAUUUACCAAAUAAGGAAAGAUUCUCAUCACCCAAGUUUCAAUUGGACCGGAACUUGGAAUCAUGCAAGUUGUAUAGCAUGAUGAAUGAGAACUUUCAAGUUUUGGAAAAUUAAGACUAAUUACUUGUUCACAUGGAUGUGUGAGUCAAGUAAAGGACUUAGGGAUCGAGUACACAUUCUUGUGCACUGAUUAAGUCCACCACUAAAGAUCGAUAAGAAGAAUCAAAUAAGGCAGAAGGAUAAAAGUUUCUCAAAUCUGAAAAGAUGGGAGAGUACUUUAGUAUCAGUUUUGUGAUCAUCUUAAUGAUUAAGAAACCAUAUCAAAAUUAGUUCUCUAAGGAAAUCUUAGUGCAUUCUUAUGACUAAGAAGAGGAACUUGAAUUGUUGAAAUGGUUAAAUCAAGAAGAUGAGUCAUACUUCGUUCCAAUACAAGUCUUAGAGUCAUACUCCAAGAUUGUCAUUUGAGUGACAUGUCUUAAAGAAGGUUUAAAACACUUGUCAAAUGUAAGAGUAAAAGUUUUCUACUCUUGUACAUUUGAAAUUGGUCAGUUGUGAUGUUUUGGAUAAAGCAAAGAACAACUUAGGCCAAUUGUGUGAAGUGAUUGUCUUGAUUAGAAUCCAUACUAUCUCUUGAAUGUUUGACAAGGGAGUCUUAUAUGUGAAGAGCACAGUGGGAGUCUUAAAGGUCUUGAAAGUCUCAAGAACUAAUCAAGAAUAAAACCUGAAGUUCUUUACUAGCACAUGACUUGAGGUUUAUAACCUAUCAUGUUGACAUAUUCUGUGCCCAUUCCAGUUAAAGUUGGCUUUGCAUAUGAGUUCUUAGAGUUCUCAAUUUGUUGCACAACAACUUGGAAGCAAUGGCAGGCCCUUGAGCUGCCAGGUGGCAAGAAAUUAAGAUUGAGUUCAAUCCAUAUGAGUUUGGAUUUGUCAUUAUCCUUGUCUUGUGACUAUGGUUUUGACAAUUCACAUGGAUAAGAACACAUACACCAUUAAAUCUAAGUGUCAUAAGGUUUCUCUCCGAUUCAUGAAAAUGAUGGUGAGGAAACACUUUCACUAAGUAGAUUUUAGCUAGAUAGCAAUUGUGAUAUUUGCAUUCUCAAAGUCGUUAGUGGAGCGUGUGUGGUUUACCGGCACACUAACCUGGACUUGUGAGAAGUGGCAAAAAGGUCUAACCAUUAUGAUUACGGCAUACCUCUUCAUAAUUGUUUAGACACACAAGUGUGCUAUCUAAGGGAAGGUGUAUGAUUUUGAUAAAGUUUUAUCAAAACAAUCUAGUAUCAGAAAUCUGAACUUUGGUAAGAAAGUCAAUGAAGUAUUGAUUUCUAGAAGUCCAGCUGAUUUCUGAGUACAUGUCAAAGCUAGUGGGAGCAUAAGUGUUAUGCUAAUAAUCAUCAUGUUAGUGGGAGCAUGAUAAUUAUGAUAAGUAUUGCAAGUUAGCAAUGUUAAUUAUAGAAAACAAAAGUUUCAAUUGGGAAAAAGUUGUUUUGCUAUAAUUAAGGGAGAGGAAAUUAUGUUCUAAAAUUUGAUUAUGAUUACGGAAUCCCUUUUCAUAAUCAUUUAGUCAAGGAUAUAUAUGAAUUUCAUGUUGGAAUGGCUCAACAUAAGGAAAUUUUGUAUAUGAGUCCAUUAUUUGCGUUCUAAAAUUCGAUUAUGAUUACGGCAUCCCUUUUCAUAAUCUGAAUUAUGAGAACUUGGCAAAUUGAAAUGGAAAUAUUAUAGCAAAAGACUGGUUUAGUCUUUAUGUGAGACAUCAUGAAUCGUGUCCCAUAUGCUUCGGAUAUAGGAUCGAUUACAUGUGCUAUAUUCAUCCGUUCUAAAAUUUUCCAAAUGCCUGGGGCAUUAAGAAGGGAAAAGGUUUAGAACUGGAUAUGACUAAAAGGAUUAAACAAUUGUCGAGGACAAUCUAAGGUUUACCAAAGAUUGGUUGCUCAAGGACAGUUGGAAGUAUAGUGAUAAUUCUGGAAGGACCAUAUUGACAUAAUCUGUAAGGAGGCAACUCUUGUUCAGAAGUGAUAGUCAAAAUGGAAUCUGGAAAUGUUUCAAAGUUAGAAUUUUCAAUCUGUUUAAGAUUAGGAAACUUAAUGCAAGAAGGAUGUUUCCAAGGAGCUGAUCUCCUUUGGAAUACUCUGUAAUGAUUGUUGUCAAGUCUUUCUGACUUUGUGCAUAAUCAUUACAAGAGGAUCAAUGCAUAUAAGUUUAGAAUCUAACAGAUUUCAGUAAAUGGCAUGAAUUUGGAAUUCUUGCAUUUGCAGUAAGGAUUUGGGAGUGUGAAAAGAGAAUCAUUGAAGUUAUGUUCAAUUGAUCUAGUUCACAAAGUAAAGAUCAUAGACAAACAUAGUAUGCAUACUUGGUGUGUGGCAUGACUAGUGUUUAAGAAAACAUAGUGUACAUGCUUGGAGCAUGGGACAACUAUUGUUUUAAAUUCAAGAAUAAAGUUGAUAGCUGAAACAGUAUACAAUGAAUAAUGUGUAAUCAUAUGGUGAUAAAUAAAAGGUGUUUUAUUUAUGUUCAUAAGUUUUGAUACCAUAUUGGAUUCAAUUAUUAUUGUGUUUCACUUUGCAUGUUUUGACUUCCCGAAUAAACUAGGUUAUUCUUCCGGAAUGACUAAGUUAUUCAAACCAUCCACAGUCGGUCAUAUGUUGGAAGUAGAUAUGAAUUAAGACUGUCAUGGGUUGGCUUGUAGAGGUCUAAGGUGUUGGACAAAGGGCUACAACACUCAUGAGUGCUCAUAAGUUCUGAGUAUUGGAUUCAACCCGCGCUCAUUGGAAUCACUUCAUGGAUUUUAUCACGAGUGAUCAUGAGACGAUAAUAUCUUAUAUUCUUCAAACCUAGAGAUAUGAGUUGUUACUAUGAGUUGGUUGUACAUUGAUUGCACGAAAACGCAUUUGGUAACUCGGUGCUAUAAAACGUGCCUUUGUGUAUGAUUCAACAAGUAGUAGAACAAGCCAUAUGAGUCGAAGUUUAUCCAUUCCUUUUACCUUCGGGAUAAAAGCGAUAUCUGUGGGCCCCUCGAUGAUUUGAUGAUGACAAAUGGAAGUGCUCGGCCGGGCCAGGACUGAUUUGAUUUGUUCAAUUAGUCAGUCGUCAUAAAUCGGAAAUCGGGAAACAACAAAUGGACAGAGAGAAUGAUUAUAAUCCAUGUCUCAGUCCAUAUGAUAUCUAGAAUGGAGGAAUAUAUGAUCCCUUAUCUAAUGGACAAGUUCGUUGACAAGAUCAGAGUUCGACAGCGGCUUUAAGAGCUACGAUUGCCAGUUAGGUUUGAAGUCAUACGCAAUAAUAGUUUUAGACUUAUCCAAGUGGGAGACUGUUGGAUUAAUGUCUAAGUCCAUAACUAUAUUUGGUAUGUACUUGACCCGACCCGGCAUGGUCCAUUUGGGUUGCACUUCACCGACACAAUUUAUAUGGAUAAUCUUUUGAGAAUAGUAUGUUUAUGAUUAAUAUUAAUAUAUUAUAAGUUCUAAUAUAUUAAUAUGGAAUCAUAUUAUUUAAUUAGUAUUGAUAAAGAAUUAAUUUAUAAUUAAUUAAGUGAUCAAAAGGAACUAAUUAAAUAUGGACUCUUAUAUAUGGAAUGGGCCAAGUUCAUUUAGGUUGGGCUAAGCUUUCAUGGAUAAUCCAUGGGGGGUUUAACCCAUGGAUCCUAGGAAAUGAAAGGUCAUGGGUAUUAGGGUUUAACCCUAAUCCUCCAUACUAUAUAAAGAUGUCUUUGGUUGGUGAAAUUGGCACUAGUGUGGUACACUAAGAAGGGCUAGCCAAUUUCACUAGAGAGAACCAAGUAUCCAUAUUCUCUAAAGUCUUCCAAGGUGUUUUGGUGAUUUGUGAUUCCAUUUGAGGCUUCCACACUAUUGGGGCUAAGCUCUUAAAGCUUGAAGACAUCAAGCUACAUCAAAAGGUAUGUCAUCUAACUAGUACUUUGUAGUUUAAGAACUUCAUAAUAUGCUAGUUAGGAUUAAAGCCUUGGAAAGUUCUUAUUUGCAUGUAUUAUAGAGAAAACAUAGAUCCAAGGUUUAUAGGGUUG